rnacentral:piRNA from 1 species
UGGUUAUACAUAGCCUCACUAUGAGUAGC